rnacentral:rRNA from 1 species
UACGUAGGGGGCGAGCGUUGUCCGGAUUUAUUGGGCGUAAAGAGCUCGUAGGCGGUUUGGCAAGUCGGGUGUGAAAACUCCGGGCUCAACUCGGAGACGCCACUCGAUACUGCCAUGACUCGAGUCCGGUAGGGGAGUGCGGAAUUCCUGGUGUAGCGGUGAAAUGCGCAGAUAUCAGGAGGAACACCGGUGGCGAAGGCGGCGACCUGGGACAAUACUGACACUGAGGUGCGAAAGCGUGGGGAGCAAACAGG